GCCUGGUUGGUUCAGUCCGUAGAGCAUGCAACUCUUGAUCUCGGGGUUGUGAGUUCAAGCCCCACACUGGGCA
rnacentral:tRNA from 1 species